rnacentral:rRNA from 1 species
UACGGAGGGUGCAAGCGUUAUUCGGAUUUACUGGGUUUAAAGGGUGCGUAGGCGGCUUUGUAAGUCUGAGGUGAAAUCUCCGAGCUUAACUCGGAAACUGCCUUGGAUACUAUAAGUCUUGAAUGACGUUGAGGUUAGCGGAAUAUGUCAUGUAGCGGUGAAAUGCGUAGAUAUGACAAAGAACAUCUAUUGCGAAGGCAGCUAACUAGGCGGAUAUUGACGCUGAUGCACGAAAGCGUGGGGAUCAAACAGG